rnacentral:lncRNA from 1 species
GGGCUAAUGUCAAGAGGCAUUGAUAAUUGGGGACACGUAAGUUUAACUAUUACACGUGUGCUUGUAGUAUACCGCUAUUUAAAGUAAUGGUUACGUAUCAUAAGAAUCACCAUACUUCUUCGUUAAUACAGACAGUUACAGUUUUACUUCAGAGAUUGAUCAAAAUCUAUUCUUACAAUUUCAGCUAUGUGGCUUCUUGGAGGAGCAGCAGUGUCCUGGCUUAUAGGACCUGCAUGGAAUGAUUUUGACUCAGCCAAAGAAAACUAGGUGCCGCUACAAGUUACCAGUUCUUCAAAGCACCCGCAUUUGGUACAGGCGCAAUAAUUGGAUGAGUAAGUCAUCUUGAACUUAUUCGCAAAAUAAGACUAAUGUUCAUAAGAACCUGUUCCAACUAAUGAUUGUCUGCCUGGAAAAUUUAGGACUUUGGUGUGGAAUAGCUUGCUCUGAGACAUACAAUAGAACCGGUCAACAGUAAGAGUUCAUAACCUAAAAUCUACAUUGACAACUCAAUUUCAAUGCUUAAUUAUGGAAUUAAUUUUCCCAUGUUUUGGAGAAUGAUUUACAGUAUGAAUUCAUUUUCACCAAACAAACAUGGGAAAACAAUGAAAAUGUUUUUCUUAAAACUUUUUACAAGUAAACAAACAGAUUUUUAAUUUCUAUUUAAAUUGUCUAUUUUUAUAAGGACUAGUCUCAUGCAACACAGCUUAACUGAAAUUCUAUAGGUUGGCAUGGUGACAGCUUAGAAUUGCUUAUGCUUAUCUCAAGUUGUUCACUGUUCCA